UUUUCGAUUUGAAGUUUUACAAAUGGAUAUUCGCGAAUCGGAGGUUGAUGUUAGACGAUGAGCAAGCAGCUGGACAAUUGCAAGGAGGCACUGGUGGCCAACCGCGAAUUCGUCGGUGUUUGUCGGCUAAAAUAUCAGAUCUGGGUGGCGCCGGAGAUUGGUUUAAAUCAUUCAAGAUUUCCGUCUUCUUUAACCACAAUUUAAUCACCUCUGAUUUCGUUUUUCAGGUUAACAAUUAAUUCACGGUUUAAUCAUCUAUGUUAUUUUCUCAGAUCUACACACUGAAUAUGGCAUCAAAUCCCUCAAUAAUUUCCUCUCCGGAAAAACUUAUAUCUCUGGGGAUCAAUUGACAAAGGAUGAUAUUAAGGUUUAUGCUACUGUUACUGAGAAGUCAAGUGGGUAUUUUCCCAAUAUUUUUAAUUGGUAUGAUGUUGUUCCUUCAAGCCUUGCUAUUAGUUUCCCUGGGAAAGCUCAAGGUGUGAAGUUUACAGAAUAUGUCAGGUAUUCAAAGUAGACACAAGGAAGGAAGCAUGAAGACUUGGAUCCAUCUAUGUUUGAGGUAGGCUCUUCAAAGUACUUU